GACGAACGCUGGCGGCGUGCUUAACACAUGCAAGUCGAACGGAAAGGCCCUGCUUUUGUGGGGUGCUCGAGUGGCGAACGGGUGAGUAACACGUGAGUAACCUGCCCUUGACUUUGGGAUAACUUCAGGAAACUGGGGCUAAUACCGGAUAGGAGCUCCUGCUGCAUGGUGGGGGUUGGAAAGUUUCGGCGGUUGGGGAUGGACUCGCGGCUUAUCAGCUUGUUGGUGGGGUAGUGGCUUACCAAGGCUUUGACGGGUCGCCGGCCUGAGAGGGUGACCGGCGACAUUGGGACUGAGAUACGGCCCAGACUCCUACGGGAGGCAGCAGUGGGGAAGAUUGCACAAUGGGCGGAAGCCUGAUGCAGCAACGCCGCGUGCGGGAUGACGGCCUUCGGGUUGUAAACCGCUUUCGCCUGUGACGAAGCGUGAGUGACGGUAAUGGGUAAAGAAGCACCGGCUAACUACGUG
rnacentral:rRNA from 1 species